UACGUAGGGUGCAAGCGUUAAUCGGAAUUACUGGGCGUAAAGGGUGCGCAGGCGGUUCUGUAAGUCAGAUGUGAAAUCCCCGGGCUUAACCUGGGAAUUGCGUUUGAAACUACAGAGCUAGAGUGUGGCAGAGGGGGGUGGAAUUCCAUGUGUAGCAGUGAAAUGCGCAGAGAUAUGGAAGAACAUCGAUGGCGAAGGCAGCCCCCUGGGUUAACACUGACGCUCAUGCACGAAAGCGUGGGGAGCAAACAGG
rnacentral:rRNA from 1 species